AUAGAUACAAUUUAUAAACUUU
rnacentral:snRNA from 1 species